rnacentral:lncRNA from 1 species
CUCAAGGCUUUCAGCCUAAAUGAGUUACUCUCUAACUGCAAACUUAACACCUACCUUAAGUAAAUGCAAAAUCUACUUGGAUAUACGAAAAACCUUCCCUGUCUUCACAAAUGGAAAUAGCGGGGCUGGAGAUUUAGCUCAGCGGCAAAAGCGCCUGCCUGGCAAGCGCAAGAUUUCACUGAAAAUCAUUUGGAGGAACCCAAAAGUUUAG